rnacentral:rRNA from 1 species
GACGAACGCUGGCGGCGUGCUUAACACAUGCAAGUCGAACGGUAAGGCCCUUCGGGGUACACGAGUGGCGAACGGGUGAGUAACACGUGGGUGAUCUGCCCUGCACUUCGGGAUAAGCCUGGGAAACUGGGUCUAAUACCGGAUAGGACUCCUGGCUUCAUGGUUGGGGGUGGAAAGCUUUUGCGGUGUGGGAUGGGCCCGCGGCCUAUCAGCUUGUUGGUGGGGUAAUGGCCUACCAAGGCGACGACGGGUAGCCGGCCUGAGAGGGUGACCGGUCACGCGGGGACUGAGAUACGGCCCAGACUCCUGCGGGAGGCAGCAGUGGGGAAUAUUGCAAAAUGGGCGCAAGCCUGAUGCAGCGAUGCCGCGUGGGGGAUGUCGGCCUUCGGGUUGUAAGCCUCUUUCAGCUAUGACGAAGCGCAAGUGACGGUAGUAGCAGAAGAAGGACCGGCCAACUACGUGCCAGCCGCCGCCGUAA